rnacentral:rRNA from 1 species
GGUUAAGCGACUAAGCGUACACGGUGGAUGCCCUGGCAGUCAGAGGCGAUGAAGGGCGUGCUAAUCUGCGAUAAGCGCCGGUAAGGUGAUAUGAACCGUUAUAACCGGCGAUACCCGAAUGGGGAAACCCAGUGUGAUUCGUCACACUAUCAUUAACUGAAUCCAUAGGUUAAUGAGGCGAACCGGGGGAACUGAAACAUCUAAGUACCCCGAGGAAAAGAAAUCAACCGAGAUUCCCCCAGUAGCGGCGAGCGAACGGGGAGGAGCCCAGAGCCUGAAUCAGCAUGUGUGUUAGUGGAAGCGUCUGGAAAGGCGCGCGAUACAGGGUGACAGCCCCGUACACAAAAGCGCAUGUGCUGUGAGCUCGAUGAGUAGGGCGGGACACGUGGUAUCCUGUCUGAAUAUGGGGGGACCAUCCUCCAAGGCUAAAUACUCCUGACUGACCGAUAGUGAACCAGUACCGUGAGGGAAAGGCGAAAAGAACCCCGGCGAGGGGAGUGAAAAAGAACCUGAAACCGUGUACGUACAAGCAGUGGGAGCACCCUUUGGGUGUGACUGCGUACCUUUUG